rnacentral:lncRNA from 1 species
GGCUCACUUGUAAUUAAAUCUGUUGAGGGAGGUCAAGGAUAAUAAGAAAGGCUUUUUAAAUAUGUCAUUGGCCAAAAAAGCAAAAACAAAGAAAAAAAAAAGGGUGGAGGAAAAUGGGAUUCUGCUGCUGAAUGAAGUGGGCACCCUGGUAACAGAGCACUCUGAGAAGUCAAUGUCAUUGAAUGCCCUCUUUGCUUCAGACUUGCUAAGAGUGUCUCUUGGGAAUCUCAGACCCUGGAGGUAAGGGAGAGUAUAAAGAAAGGAAGACUUCCCUUUGAUCAAGGAGGGUCUGGUCAGAGACCAUCCAGGCAAAACAUAAUGCACACAAACCCAUGAGCCCUGGGAUGGACCCAUGUUGAGGGAACUGGUAGAGGUGACUGCUGAAUGCUCUCUACCAUCUUUGAAAAGUCAUGCAGAGCGCAGUGAACAUUGUGUACCUUGACUUCAGAAAGGCCUUUAACACUGUCUCCCAUAACAUGCUCAUAGGUAAACUUAGGAAAUGUGGGAUAGACAGUGAACAUCAAAAAAGACGAAUAAAAAACACUUCCUGACUUUCUGGAGUAUGCUUGGUAUGUCUCGAGCAUUUAUAGUCCAAAGCAAAAUUUAACAACAAAUCGAGGGCCGUUAUCAGUGAGGCAGGAGGUCCUGUGAGAACAAGGUGGUCUCAAAACAGGCCCACCUUCCCUGCCAGAAAGAUUUUCUACAAACUUAUUUCUGACAAAUUUGUUCCUGUGAACUCUCUUGUUUAUGGCCUUGAAAAUGUGCACCUGCAAACCUUACAGAUACAAAAAGAUGAUGGUGAGGAGACAUUGUCAUCAUUGAUUUUUCCCUGCCUGCUGUUUGCCGGUUCAAGAUUAAGACCUCUGGACGAGUGCAGUCAUAUCUCCAUCCCUCCUGGACCCACAGGACCUGAACUGGAACUCCUCAAAAUGGACCGUUUCCAUGGAAAUGAAGACAUCACUUUCAGCAUGACCUACAUAAAUAUGUAAAGGUCAUGUGUCAAGAGGACAGGGCCAGGCUCAUUUCAGUGGUGACCAGUGAUCGGACAAAGGACAAUGAACACAAACUGGAACACAUGAAGUCCAAUAUAAACAAUAGAAAUAAAUAUUUUAUUUUACUUUGAGUGUGACA